rnacentral:rRNA from 1 species
UACAGAGGUCUCAAGCGUUGUUCGGAUUCAUUGGGCGUAAAGGGUGCGUAGGCGGCGCGGUAAGUCGGGUGUGAAAUCUCGGAGCUUAACUCCGAAACUGCAUUCGAUACUACCGUGCUUGAGGACUGGAGAGGAGACUGGAAUUUACGGUGUAGCGGUGAAAUGCGUAGAGAUCAUGAGGAAGACCAGUGGCGAAGGCGGGUCUCUGGACAGUUCCUGACACUGAGACACGAGGGCCAGGGGAGCAAACGGG